AGUGAACGCUGGCGGUAGGCCUAACACAUGCAAGUCGAACGGCAGCACAGUAAGAGCUUGCUCUUACGGGUGGCGAGUGGCGGACGGGUGAGGAAUACAUCGGAAUCUACUUUUUCGUGGGGGAUAACGUAGGGAAACUUACGCUAAUACCGCAUACGACCUACGGGUGAAAGCAGUGGAUCUUCGGACCUUGCGCGAUUGAAUGAGCCGAUGUCGGAUUAGCUAGUUGGCGGGGUAAAGGCCCACCAAGGCGACGAUCCGUAGCUGGUCUGAGAGGAUGAUCAGCCACACUGGAACUGAGACACGGUCCAGACUCCUACGGGAGGCAGCAGUGGGGAAUAUUGGACAAUGGGCGCAAGCCUGAUCCGGCCAUACCGCGUGGGUGAAGAAGGCCUUCGGGUUGUAAAGCCCUUUUGUUGGGAAAGAAAAGCAGCAGGUGAAUACCCCGCUGUUCUGACGGUACCCAAAGAAUAAGCACCGGCUAACUUCGUG
rnacentral:rRNA from 1 species